GACCUGAGGAGGGUGGCGGAGGUGUUUAGCGCGAGGUGGUGGGGCCCGAGGAGAGCGGCGAGAGGUGGGCUGGGGCCCAGCAGCUGCUCCGAGCUUUUCUGCCAUUUGAAGCUUCUGCUGGGAGCCAGCUGUGACCAGAGGAAUGGCUCCAGCCAUCCGGCCAUGUAAGAUGUACCUGCUUCCCCUUUGC